rnacentral:rRNA from 1 species
CGUGUAGGCGGGAAGGAAAGUCAGAUGUGAAAUCCCUGGGCUCAACCCAGGAACUGCAUUUGAAACUCCCUUUCUUGAGUGUCGGAGAGGAAAGUGGAAUUCCUGGUGUAGAGGUGAAAUUCGUAGAUAUCAGGAGGAACACCGGUGGCGAAGGCGGCUUUCCGGACGACAACUGACGCUGAGACGCGAAAGCGUGGGGAGCAAACA